AAAUCUGGCGUCUUUCAGGCGUCCGAGUUGUAAUCUAUAGAGGCGUUUUCCGCGCCGGACCGCGUCCAAGUCUCUUGGAAUAGAGUAUCAAAGAGGGUGACAAUCCCGUACUUGACGCGACAACCGGUGCUCUGUGAUACGUUCUCAAUGAGUCGAGUUGUUUGGGAAUGCAGCUCUAAAUGGGUGGUAAAUUCCAUCUAAGGCUAAAUAUUGGCGAGAGACCGAUAGCGAACAAGUACCGUGAGGGAAAGAUGAAAAGCACUUUGGAAAGAGAGUUAAACAGCACGUGAAAUUGUUAAAAGGGAAACGAUUGAAGUCAGUCGUGUGAAAGGUAUUCAGCCGAUAUCUGGCGGUGUAUUUGCCUUUCACGGGUCAACAUCAGUUUGAUCCGGUAGAAAAAGGCGGGAGGAAGGUGGCACCCUCGGGUGUGUUAUAGCCUCCUGUCAUAUGUCCCGGACCAACUGAGGAACGCAGCUUGCCGCAAGGCCGGGGUUCGCCCACG
rnacentral:rRNA from 1 species